rnacentral:rRNA from 1 species
UGCGUAGGCGGAUGUUUAAGUCUGUUGUGAAAUCCCCGGGCUCAACCUGGGAAUGGCAUUGGAUACUGGGCAUCUAGAGUGUGGUAGAGGGUAGUGGAAUUUCUGGUGUAGCGGUGAAAUGCGUAGAUAUCAGAAAGAACACCAAUGGCGAAGGCAACUACCUGGCCAACACUGACGCUGAGGUACGAAAGCGUGGGGAGCAAACA